UGGGGAAUUUUGGACAAUGGGGGAAACCCUGAUCCAGCCAUCCCGCGUGUGCGAUGAAGGCCUUCGGGUUGUAAAGCACUUUUGGCAGGAAAGAAACGUCAUGGGUUAAUACCCCGUGAAACUGACGGUACCUGCAGACUAAGCACCGGCUAACUACGUGCCAGCAGCCGCGGUAAUACGUAGGGUGCACGCGUUAAUCGGAAUUACUGGGCGUAAAGCGUGCGCAGGCGGUUCGGAAAGAAAGAUGUGAAAUCCCAGAGCGCAACUUUGGAACUGAAUUUUUAACUACCGGGCUAGAGUGUGUCAGAGGGAGGUGGAAUUCCGCAUGUAGCAGUGAAAUGCGUAGAUAUGCGGAGGAACACCGAUGGCGAAGGCAGCCUCCUGGGAUAACACUGACGCUCAUGCACGAAAGCGUGGGGAGCAAACAGG
rnacentral:rRNA from 1 species